rnacentral:rRNA from 1 species
GGGGGAGUGGCGCGGCUAUAAUGCAAGUCGAACGAACUCUGGUAUUGAUUGGUGCUUGCAUCAUGAUUUACAUUUGAGUGAGUGGCGAACUGGUGAGUAACACGUGGGAAACCUGCCCAGAAGCGGGGGAUAACACCUGGAAACAGAUGCUAAUACCGCAUAACAACUUGGACCGCAUGGUCCGAGUUUGAAAGAUGGCUUCGGCUAUCACUUUUGGAUGGUCCCGCGGCGUAUUAGCUAGAUGGUGGGGUAACGGCUCACCAUGGCAAUGAUACGUAGCCGACCUGAGAGGGUAAUCGGCCACAUUGGGACUGAGACACGGCCCAAACUCCUACGGGAGGCAGCAGUAGGGAAUCUUCCACAAUGGACGAAAGUCUGAUGGAGCAACGCCGCGUGAGUGAAGAAGGGUUUCGGCUCGUAAAACUCUGUUGUUAAAGAAGAACAUAUCUGAGAGUAACUGUUCAGGUAUUGACGGUAUUUAACCAGAAAGCCACGGCUAACUACGUGCCAGCAGCCGCGGUAAUACGUAGGUGGCAAGCGUUGUCCGGAUUUAUUGGGCGUAAAGCGAGCGCAGGCGGUUUUUUAAGUCUGAUGUGAAAGCCUUCGGCUCAACCGAAGAAGUGCAUCGGAAACUGGGAAACUUGAGUGCAGAAGAGGACAGUGGAACUCCAUGUGUAGCGGUGAAAUGCGUAGAUAUAUGGAAGAACACCAGUGGCGAAGGCGGCUGUCUGGUCUGUAACUGACGCUGAGGCUCGAAAGUAUGGGUAGCAAACAGGAUUAGAUACUCUGGUAGUCCAUACCGUAAACGAUGAAUGCUAAGUGUUGGAGGGUUUCCGCCCUUCAGUGCUGCAGCUAACGCAUUAAGCAUUCCGCCUGGGGAGUACGGCCGCAAGGCUGAAACUCAAAGGAAUUGACGGGGGCCCGCACAAGCGGUGGAGCAUGUGGUUUAAUUCGAAGCUACGCGAAGACCCUUACCAGUCUUGACAUACUAUGCAAAUCUAAGAGAUUAGACGUUCCCUUCGGGGACAUGGAU